rnacentral:rRNA from 1 species
AGAUUGAACGCUGGCGGCAGGCCUAACACAUGCAAGUCGAACGGUAACAGGAAGCAGCUUGCUGCUUUGCUGACGAGUGGCGGACGGGUGAGUAAUGUCUGGGAAACUGCCUGAUGGAGGGGGAUAACUACUGGAAACGGUAGCUAAUACCGCAUAACGUCGCAAGACCAAAGAGGGGGACCUUCGGGCCUCUUGCCAUCAGAUGUGCCCAGAUGGGAUUAGCUUGUUGGUGGGGUAACGGCUCACCAAGGCGACGAUCCCUAGCUGGUCUGAGAGGAUGACCAGCCACACUGGAACUGAGACACGGUCCAGACUCCUACGGGAGGCAGCAGUGGGGAAUAUUGCACAAUGGGCGCAAGCCUGAUGCAGCCAUGCCGCGUGUAUGAAGAAGGCCUUCGGGUUGUAAAGUACUUUCAGCGGGGAGGAAGGUGUUGUGGUUAAUAACCACAGCAAUUGACGUUACCCGCAGAAGAAGCACCGGCUAACUCCGUGCCAGCAGCCGCGGUAAUACGGAGGGUGCAAGCGUUAAUCG